rnacentral:rRNA from 1 species
GACGAACGCUGGCGGCGUGCUUAACACAUGCAAGUCGAACGGGCCUGUCUUCUUUUUUGGGGGUGGGUUGAGUGGCGAACGGGUGAGUAUCACUUGAGUAACCUUCCCUUCGGUCCUGGAUAACCGCUUGAAAGGGCGGCUAAUACGGGGUGGUCCGGUUGGUCCGCAUGGGCUGGUCGGGAUAGAUUCACUGUUUUUGGUGUUUCGGCGGGGGAUGGGCUCGCGGCCUAUCAGCUUGUUGGUGGGGUGAUGGCCUACCAAGGAGGUGACGGGUAGCCGGCCUGAGAGUGUGGGCGGCGACACUGGGACUGAGAUACGGCCCAGACUCCUGCGGGAGGCAGCAGUGGGGGGUAUUGCACAAUGGGCGGAAGCCUGAUGCAGCGACGUCGCGUGAGGGAUGGAGGCCUUCGGGUUGUGAACCUCUGUUUCCGGUGGUGAAGGCCCUGUCCGUGUGGUGGGGUUGACGGUAGCCGGGGAUGAAGCGCCGGCUAACUACGUG